CUCGUUUUUCCCAAAUUCCGGCUUCACCCGGUACGCAGGAUCAGGUGCACACCGGAAUCCGAGAACACGGGUCCGGACAGCUCUCCUACUUUCAGCGCGUAAGUAGCAUCCUCAAAGGGCUUUUGCAUGUCGCCGCGCCUGGAGUUGGGCCAAUGAUUGCGUGUAACGCGGUAUGGUGCAGGUACGCGUCACUCAACAUUCACCAUGAUUGACUUAUCACGAAGUUGAAGAUGCAGCCCCUGCCUCCCCGUCCCCUGUACUAACCUUCUCACGCACUGCUGCAUAGUGCACACAUAGUACAUAGUGCCGCCACCCUUAACCUGCUUAAUGCAACGACACCCACCGCCGGACUUUCACGACCGCAAGGUGUCCCCGUUGAAGCUUCUCUGGUCCCGAGCCCAUAUCCGAGCCGAACUCACCCGAACUCGCCCAGGUCGCCGCCUCGCUUCGCGCUGCUGCAGUGGCUCUC
rnacentral:lncRNA from 1 species